GUCUUUGUGAGCUGGAACAGUGCACCAGGAGAGUUUGACUUCCACAGAGUCACUGUGAGUAACUCCUCGUUCAAAAAAACCCUCAGAGUCCCUAAAGAGGAGCAGGUUGCUUUGGUCACAGGUCUGCUGGAUGGCUGCAGCUACAACGUGAGUGCUGAGAGAGUGAAAGGAUUGAUGGCAGGAAAUACAGCCUUUCUACCUGUAACUACAGGUAGAUGAUGUUACAAAGACUGCCACUCAGUUAGUGACCACACAAUCGUGUAAUAAAUGACAGGAUCUUUCUCUUUUUUUCUUGUUCCUCAUGAGUUCCGGCCCGUGUGCGAGGGGUACGUGUGGUGAGCGUUGCUACUUAUUCCUUCUCAUUGCGUUGGCAACAAGCAGUUGGAUGCGUGGACCAUUACCAAGUGAGCGUGCAUCCAAACCAGGGAAAAGUCAUAUUUCACCCCGGGCAUGAUGGAUAUGUUCAGGUCGACGUGGAGAACGUCAGUCCUGGUACUCAGUACACAGCAACAGUCACAGCAGCUUCCUCUUCCAAUGUGAGCCCUGGAGUCAGCCGCAUGAUUGUAACCAGCAAGAGUGGUGAGGAGCCUGCACACCAAAUACUUAUUGUUUUGUGGAACUGAAGUCAGGCAAGAUUCUCUGCUGUCUGUUUUCUUUAGCCAUUAUGGAAAGGUACAAAGACACACACACACACACACACAAAGUAAAGAGCAAAGUGGAUGAUGUGGUGUGUGUAUUUUUGUACUUCCUGUACUGUUUAAUUCCUUUUAGGUAACUUAAGCUGAAGCUUUUGAACCACUGGAUGAAUAGCUCUGCAGUGAAUGCCAGUGAAAUGCCACUGCUGUGUGAAGCCUUAUUCAUCAGGGUUCCUGUAAAAAAGCAUUCAUGCAGACCACAUACACACUUUACCACACAAGCACACUUUUGAUGGAUGGGACUCACAAUAGCAUCACUUCUAAUAGAAAAACUGUUAUUUUGGAGUUGCACAACAUUAGUUAAGUAAUAAUUUCUAACUUUGGGGUAUAAAUAAAGUAUGCACAGUUUAAUAAACUUUGCAGUUAUAUAUCCAGGUUGUUUUUGACCGUCUUCCUUUCUUUGCUUCUCUGUAGUUCCAGGUCCCCCUUCACAAUUAAUUGGGGGACCUGUUGGAUCUAAUGGUAUUUUGCUCUCCUGGACCAUGCCCCAAAAUUCAAAGAAUAUUGAGGGAUACAUCAUCAGGUGAGUUUUGCUGCUGUUUUGUGCAAUGAAUUAAUUUGCUUCCUUAAAGGAAGAGCUUAAGCACAGGAUCACAUGAAUGAUUAUUAUGAUAUUUGGCAUUUUCCUUUGGUCAAAACUUUUAUAUUUUAUUAUAUAGUUUGGAGGUUUUGUGAAAUAAGAAGCUAAUUUCAUGUAAUGAAUAAAUAUAUGGCCAAUCAACUUAUGUUCCCUUAUCUGUUAAAGACUUAAAAACUGACUUUCGCUCAAAAGGAAUAGAGUUAAAAUGUAAAUACAGUUUUCAUUAACAUCCACCGAUUGUGGUGCUUAUAUUUACUUUGCGCUAAAAUUUAUUCAUGUAUUAAAUAGGAAAUGCAAAUAAUCCAUAAUUUUUCCUGGUUAUUUUUCUUUAAAUUUAGUGAAAAAGAGAAGAGAAUGUUUGAAUAAAUUUGAUUUUUAAGAUGACAACUGUGUUGCAAUUGCUGCAUUACUAGUAACUACGAUAAGUAACACAUUACCCCAUUACUGUAUACCAGUAGAUACUUUAAGAAGAGACUGCAUUAUUAUUGUGACCUUUUUGAUGUAAAUUAAACUCUGUAAGAAGCCACCAAAAAAUACUUCUUGCAGCCAAUUUAAAGGGAAACAU
rnacentral:lncRNA from 1 species